UGGGACACCCGCGGCUUAACAUCCGGUGCGGCCUGUACAAGUGCAAAAUUUGUUUUCUUUCUAAAAUUAGAGCAUGCGGCUUUUAAUCAGGUGCGCUCUGUAGUCCGGAAUUUACGACAAACAGGAAACUGGAACGCUAUCACCUCUGAGAAAACAUCACUGCGACUUCCCAGUUCUGAGUUCAGAGGGUUGAUGUACACAUUUCAGAUCAAAACAGAUUUGUCUAUGGGAGGCAGAACCUGUCUCUUCCCCAAACAGUAUGAUGGUUGGACAUGCACAUGCUGUUCAUACUUUCAAACAAUUACUUAAAAAAAUGAACAUUGCACCUUCAGGCAUCUGGAAAUUGUACCCAAGGAUAAACCAGACUAGUAGAUGUCCAUAAUCUCUACCUGAUAGCUUGGAUGAUAUAUUUUGAUUUUUUCCCCGAUGUCACACAAAGAAGUUUUGAAGGUAUUGCCUUAAAUACAUCAA